GGAAGUAAAAGUCGUAACAAGGUCUCCGUUGGUGAACCAGCGGAGGGAUCAUUACUGAGUUUACGCUCUACAACCCUUUGUGAACAUACCUAUAACUGUUGCUUCGGCGGGUAGGGUCUCCGUGACCCUCCCGGCCUCCCGCCCCCGGGCGGGUCGGCGCCCGCCGGAGGAUAACCAAACUCUGAUUUAACGACGUUUCUUCUGAGUGGUACAAGCAAAUAAUCAAAACUUUUAACAACGGAUCUCUUGGUUCUGGCAUCGAUGAAGAACGCAGCGAAAUGCGAUAAGUAAUGUGAAUUGCAGAAUUCAGUGAAUCAUCGAAUCUUUGAACGCACAUUGCGCCCGCCAGCAUUCUGGCGGGCAUGCCUGUUCGAGCGUCAUUUCAACCCUCAAGCUCUGCUUGGUGUUGGGGCCCUACAGCUGAUGUAGGCCCUCAAAGGUAGUGGCGGACCCUCCCGGAGCCUCCUUUGCGUAGUAACUUUACGUCUCGCACUGGGAUCCGGAGGGACUCUUGCCGUAAAACCCCCAAUUUUCCAAAGGUUGACCUCGGAUCAGGUAGGAAUACCCGCUGAACUUAAGCAUAUCAAUA
rnacentral:rRNA from 2 species